rnacentral:SRP_RNA from 1 species
GCCAGGCACACUGGUGCAAGCCUGCAGUCCCAGCUACUUGGAGGAGGAGGAUUGCUUGAGCCCAGGAGUUCUGGGCUGUAGUGCACUGUGCCCAUUGGGUGUCUGUACUAAGUUCAGCACCAAUAUGGUGACCUCUGGGACUACCAAGUUGCUUAACGAGGGGUGAACUGGCACAGGCUAGAAGUGGAGCAGGUCAAAACUCCUGUGCUGAUCAGCAGUGGGAUCACACCUCUGAAUAGCUACUGCACUACAGCCUGGGCAAAAUAGUGAGACCCCAU